AGCGAACGCUGGCGGCAGACCUAACACAUGCAAGUCGAACGAACCUUUCGGGGUUAGUGGCGGACGGGUGAGUAACACGUGGGAACGUGCCUUUAGGUUCGGAAUAACUCAGGGAAACUUGUGCUAAUACCGAAUGUGCCCUUCGGGGGAAAGAUUUAUCGCCUUUAGAGCGGCCCGCGUCUGAUUAGCUAGUUGGUUGAGGUAAUGGCUCACCAAGGCGACGAUCAGUAGCUGGUCUGAGAGGAUGAUCAGCCACAUUGGGACUGAGACACGGCCCAAACUCCUACGGGAGGCAGCAGUGGGGAAUCUUGCGCAAUGGGCGAAAGCCUGACGCAGCCAUGCCGCGUGAAUGAUGAAGGUCUUAGGAUUGUAAAAUUCUUUCACCGGGGACGAUAAUGACGGUACCCGGAGAAGAAGCCCCGGCUAACUUCGUG
rnacentral:rRNA from 1 species